CCACAGAACUAGUGGAAUAGCUAGAUCUAUAUAAAGGGGAGUUUAUUAAGUAUUAACUCACAUGGUCACAACGUCCCACAAUAGGCCGUCUGCAGGCGGAGGAGCAAGGAGAGCCAGUCUGAGUUCCAAAACUAAAGAACUUAGAGCGCGAUGUUCAAGAGCAGGAAGCAUCCAGCAAGGGAGAAAGAUGUAGGCUGGGAGGCUAGGCCAGUCUCUCUUUUCACAUUUUCCACCUGCUUAUAUUCUAGUCAUGCUGGCAGCUGAUUUGAUUGUGCCCACCCAGAUUAAGUGUGGGUCUGCCUUUCCCAGCCCACUGACUCAAAUGUUUAUCUCCUUUGGCAACACCCUCAAAGACACACCCAGGAUCAAUAUCCUUCAAUCCAAUCAAGUUGACACUCAAUAUUAACAUCACACUGAAAAACUCAAGUGCAACAAAUACAGUUCCGGAGGCUGAGUGACUAAGGUCAGCCAAGCAGAUAUUUAGUCGUGCCUACCUAACAACCCCCAGUAAAAUCCCUGAACACUGACCAGGCACAGUGGCUCACGCCUGUAAUCCCAGCAUUUUGGGAGGCGGAUCACCUGAGGUCCGGAGUUCGAGACCAGCCUGACCACCAUGGAGAAACCCCUUCUCUACCAAAAAUACAAAAAAUUAGCCAAGCAUGGUGGUGCAUGCCUGUAAUUCCAGCUACUUGGGAGACUGAGGUAGGAGAAUCUCUUGAACCACGGGGAUUAGGUUGCGGUGAACUGAGAUCGAGACAUUGCACUCCAGCCUGGUCAACAAGAGAGAAACUCCAUCUCAAAAAAAAAAAUCCCUGGACACCAAGGUUCAAGUGAGCUUCCUGGAACGACAAUACUUUGUAAGCAUUAUUACACAUCAUUUUUGGUAGAAUUAAGCACUGUCUUUAAGAUUCUACCAGGAGAAGACACGUGGAAACUUGUGCCUGGUCCCACUAGGGACUCUGCCCUUAGCCCACUUACUUCUGCUAAUUUUAAUUUGCAUCCU
rnacentral:lncRNA from 10 species